rnacentral:lncRNA from 1 species
GAGAUUUAGGGAGGUCAAGGGCGGGCCCAAACGGGGCGCGGCUGCAGGAUUUCGUCCAGCCUCAGCCACCGUCAGUCCGUAAAUGCAAGCAAACUCAGAUCAGGCAGACGAGACUUUGCCCGGUUCCGCGGGUCAGUGUGGGGCCGAACCCUCAGGCGUGGGCUGUGAUUGCUAACUGCUGGCGCCCGUACACACUUGGGGACGGACUCCGGAGACUGCAUCCAAGGGUUUGGAAGCAUCCUCACUUCCCUAGGCAUCUGGACGGCGUCCUGCAGAGGGGCGGACUGGCAGAGAAGAGAUGCCAGCCUGGCGGACCGCUUUCCCUACCUCUCCAGAGAAGUCUGACCACUAUGCUUCUUCCUCACGCGCCGCCAACCAGCGUCCAGAAGAGGGCGCAGGCGAGUCCUGCACAGCAGUGUUGAGGCACUAGGUCCCGGGUGUGGGAGUCGCGGCCACAGCCAAGUGCCCAACCUAUUUUGUGAGCUCCCAUGCUCGGAAAGAGGAGCCCCAGUCCGCUUCGCUAGUCUUUUCAACCAGUAUGAAUCCAUUCAUGGCUUCCAUUUGAAGUCUUCUUCCUUUCAAUGAAUUUUCUUCUGAUGAAAAAUUUUCUAACAAGUCAUUUACACAUGAUGGAAAAUUUUCUGUGGAUUCCGUUGCUUACUUUUAAUGCUUUGGUUGCAGAUUUUAUUACACUUUAAAUCUGAAUUUUCUCACCAUUGUUUAGUAAAUAUUUAAG